rnacentral:rRNA from 1 species
UAUUAUUUACUUGAUCUUGAUAUCCUACGUGGAUAACUGUGGUAAUUCUAGAGCUAAUACAUGCACCAAAGCUCCGAUUUUUGACGAGCGCAUCUAUUAGAUUAAAACCAAUCGGAUUUCGGUCCGUCAUUUGGUGACUCUGAAUAGCUAUGGCUGAUCGCAUGGUCUUGUACCGGCGACGUAUCUAUCAAGUGUCUGCCUUAUCAACUUUCGAUGGUAGUUUAUGUGCCUACCAUGGUUGUUACGGGUAACGGAGAAUAAGGGUUCGACUCCGGAGAGGGAGCCUGAGAAACGGCUACCACAUCCAAGGAAGGCAGCAGGCGCGCAAAUUACCCACUCUCGGCAUGAGGAGGUAGUGACGAAAAAUAACGAGACCGUUCUCUAUGAGGCCGGUUAUCGGAAUGGGUACAAUUUAAACCCGUUAACGAGGAUCUAUGAGAGGGCAAGUCUGGUGCCAGCAGCCGCGGUAAUUCCAGCUCUCAAAGUGUAUAUCGUCAUUGCUGCGGUUAAAAAGCUCGUAGUUGGAUCUGCGCCUCAGGACUCGGUCCGCCCACUGGGUGAGAACUGGGCUCCUAGGCUAAUACUGCUGGUUUUCCCUAUGUUGCCUUCAUCGGUCGCGUAGGGUGGCUAGCGAGUUUACUUUGAAAAAAUUAGAGUGCUUCACGCGGGCUAUUGUCUGAAUACUCGUGCAUGGAAUAAUAGAAUAGGAUCUCGGCUCUAUUUUGUUGGUUUUCUGAUCUGAGAUAAUGGUUAAGAGGGACGGACGGGGGCAUUCGUAUCGCUGCGUGAGAGGUGAAAUUCUUGGACCGUAGCGAGACGUCCGACUGCGAAAGCAUUUGCCAAGAAUGUCUUCAUUAAUCAAGAACGAAAGUCAGAGGUUCGAA